AGCGGAGAAGACGAUGGGCU
rnacentral:miRNA from 1 species